rnacentral:rRNA from 1 species
CAGCAGUGGGGAAUAUUGCACAAUGGGCGCAAGCCUGAUGCAGCCAUGCCGCGUGUGUGAAGAAGGCCUUCGGGUUGUAAAGCACUUUCAGCGGGGAGGAAGGCGGUGAGGUUAAUAACCUCAUCGAUUGACGUUACCCGCAGAAGAAGCACCGGCUAACUCCGUGCCAGCAGCCGCGGUAAUACGGAGGGUGCAAGCGUUAAUCGGAAUUACUGGGCGUAAAGCGCACGCAGGCGGUCUGUCAAGUCGGAUGUGAAAUCCCCGGGCUCAACCUGGGAACUGCAUUCGAAACUGGCAGGCUAGAGUCUUGUAGAGGGGGGUAGAAUUCCAGGUGUAGCGGUGAAAUGCGUAGAGAUCUGGAGGAAUACCGGUGGCGAAGGCGGCCCCCUGGACAAAGACUGACGCUCAGGUGCGAAAGCGUGGGGAGCAAACAGGAUUAGA